rnacentral:rRNA from 1 species
UACAGAGGUCCCGAGCGUUGUUCGGAUUCACUGGGCGUAAAGGGUGCGUAGGUGGUGAGGAAAGUCGGAUGUGAAAUCUCCAAGCUCAACUUGGAAAUGGCAUUGGAAACUACCUUGCUGGAGGUUUGGAGGGGGGGACUGGAAUACUUGGUGUAGCAGUGAAAUGCGUAGAUAUCAAGUGGAACACCAGUGGCGAAGGCGAGUCCCUGGACAACACCUGACACUGAGGCACGAAAGCUAGGGGAGCAAACAGG